rnacentral:rRNA from 1 species
UACGUAGGGGGCGAGCGUUGUCCGGAGUUACUGGGCGUAAAGGGCGCGCAGGCGGUCUGGUAAGUUUGGAGUGACAGUGCUUGGCUUAACUGAGCAAGGCCUUCGAAAACUAUCAGACUUGAGCACUCAAGAGGGACAUAGAAUUCCGGGUGGAGUGGUGAAAUGCGUAGAUAUCCGGAGGAAUACCAAAGGCGAAGGCAGUGUCCUGGGGAGUGUCUGACGCUCAGGCGCGAAAGCUAGGGGAGCGAACAGG